UGGCACCUUUCCCUGGGGCUCUCAGCAGGAGGCCCGCUGAGGCUGUAGGAGCUUCCAGGAGCUCCGGAUAAAACCUUGGAUUGACCCCUGCUAAGAGUCUCCAAUUUUAUCCUUCCCCGAUCUCAGCAGUGUCUCCCCUGCUGCAAAGGUGACUAGCCUAGCUGCCUGCUGUCCCCCCGGGGCGCGGGAGAGUGUCCCCCCGCUGUCUGCCGUGUCGGGGCUGGCCGGGGUUCCUGAGUGGCACCCAGAGAGACGGGGACACUGCUGGUGCAGAAUCACUGCAAGCGAGGGGCAGGGGUGGAUCAACUGAUCUUCGGCCGCCAUUGCUCCCCUCAGAGCACAAAAGACGCAGCAGAGGUUGAGGUGCCGCGGUCCCACGGUUCCGGGAUUAGAGCAGACUUACCGCAGCUCUCGCUCCCGCCCAGCGCACCAUGCUUCCAGUUCCAGUCAUCCUUGGAAUUUUAAAGGUCAUUGGAUUGAUUGCCGUCAUGGCAGGAAUUACGGUUAUAGCAGUACACCAUGACAAGAUAUUAAUCAAAGUAAAGAAAUCUCACAAGGGAUCAAUUUCCUUCACUAUUGGAGCUGAGAGGAAAAAAACGGCAUAACUCUUCCCUCCAAGAAGCACCCAAUAUCAUGCAGACCGCAGAAACAACUACCUGUGUUCUAUGCAAGGGAGCAAAAGCAAGAUUCCCUCCUUCAAAGCAUGCUGAUUCAUCUUCAAACAGCAGGUGCUGGAAGGAGAAAUCCUUUCCACAACUUCCGCAUUAAAUGGUUUCGAUUAAUUUUACUUAUAAAAUCAUGUAAAACAAUAAAUGAGCAGUGCUGGCA